rnacentral:rRNA from 1 species
UACGAAGGGGGCUAGCGUUGUUCGGAAUCACUGGGCGUAAAGGGCGCGUAGGCGGCUUUAUAAGUCGGGGGGUGAAAGCCUGUGGCUCAACCACAGAAUUGCCUUCGAUACUGUAGAGCUUGAGACCGGAAGAGGUAAGUGGAACUGCGAGUGUAGAGGUGAAAUUCGUAGAUAUUCGCAAGAACACCAGUGGCGAAGGCGGCUUACUGGUCCGGUUCUGACGCUGAGGCACGCGAAAGCGUGGGGAGCAAACAGG